rnacentral:rRNA from 1 species
GUUUACAGCCAUGGUGCAGUGAACAAGCCUGAUAUCUGAUCUUGGAAGCUAAACAGGGUUGGGCUUGGUUAGUACUUGGAUGGGAGACCACCUGGGAAGACCAGGUGCUGUAGGCA